rnacentral:rRNA from 1 species
AGUGAACGCUGGCGGUAGGCCUAACACAUGCAAGUCGAACGGCAGCACAGUAAGAGCUUGCUCUUACGGGUGGCGAGUGGCGGACGGGUGAGGAAUACAUCGGAAUCUACUUUUUCGUGGGGGAUAACGUAGGGAAACUUACGCUAAUACCGCAUACGACCUACGGGUGAAAGCAGGGGAUCUUCGGACCUUGCGCGAUUGAAUGAGCCGAUGUCGGAUUAGCUAGUUGGCGGGGUAAAGGCCCACCAAGGCGACGAUCCGUAGCUGGUCUGAGAGGAUGAUCAGCCACACUGGAACGGAGACACGGCCCAGACUCCAACGGGAGGAAGCAGUGGGGAAUAUUGGAAAAUGGGCGCAAGCCUGAUCCAGCCAGACCGCGGGGGUGAAGAAGGCCUUCGGGUGGUAAAGCCCUUUUGUUGGGAAAGAAAAGCAGCAGGUUAAUACCCCGCUGUUCUGACGGUACCCAAAGAAUAAGCACCGGCAAACUUCGU